rnacentral:rRNA from 1 species
AGUGAACGCUGGCGGCAGGCCUAAUACAUGCAAGUCGAACGGCAGCACAGUGGAGCUUGCUCCAUGGGUGGCGAGUGGCGGACGGGUGAGGAAUACAUGGGAAUCUGCCCAGUCGUGGGGGAUAACGUGUGGAAACGUACGCUAAUACCGCAUGCGCCCUUCGGGGAAAGUCGGGGACCGCAAGGCCUGACGCGAUUGGAUGAGCCCAUGUUCGAUUAGCUAGUUGGCGGGGUAACGGCCCACCAAGGCGACGAUCGAUAGCUGGUCUGAGAGGAUGAUCAGCCACACUGGAACUGAGACAGGUCCAGACUCCUACGGGAGGCAGCAGUAGGGAAUAUU